GUCCCGGGUAGCCUAGUGGACAUGGCAUCUGCCCGGUAAGCGGAACAUUGUGGGUUCGUUUCCCAUCCCUGGACA